UGUGUGUGUGUGUAUGUAUGUAUGUGUGUAUAUAUAUAUAUAUAUAUAUAUACACACACACACACACACACACACACACA